rnacentral:rRNA from 1 species
GACGAACGCUGGCGGCGUGCUUAACACAUGCAAGUCGAACGGAAAGGCACUGCUUUUGUGGGGUGCUCGAGUGGCGAACGGGUGAGUAACACGUGAGUAACCUGCCCUUGACUUUGGGAUAACUUCAGGAAACUGGGGCUAAUACCGGAUAGGAGCUCCUGCUGCAUGGUGGGGGUUGGAAAGUUUCGGCGGUUGGGGAUGGACUCGCGGCUUAUCAGCUUGUUGGUGGGGUAGUGGCUUACCAAGGCUUUGACGGGUAGCCGGCCUGAGAGGGUGACCGGCCACAUUGGGACUGAGAUACGGCCCAGACUCCUACGGGAGGCAGCAGUGGGGAAUAUUGCACAAUGGGCGGAAGCCUGAUGCAGCAACGCCGCGUGCGGGAUGACGGCCUUCGGGUUGUAAGCCGCUUUCGCCUGUGACGAAGCGUGAGUGACGGUAAUGGGUAAAGAAGCACCGGCUAACUACGUG